rnacentral:rRNA from 1 species
UACGUAUGGUGCAAGCGUUAUCCGGAUUUACUGGGUGUAAAGGGAGCGCAGGCGGCACGGCAAGCCUGAUGUGAAAGCCCGCGGCCCAACCGCGGGACUGCAUUGGGAACUACCGGGCUGGAGUGCCGGAGAGGUAGGCGGAAUUCCUAGUGUAGCGGUGAAAUGCGUAGAUAUUAGGAGGAACACCAGUGGCGAAGGCGGCCUACUGGACGGUGACCGACGCUGAGGCUCGAAAGCGUGGGGAGCAAACAGG